rnacentral:snRNA from 1 species
GCAUGCUCACAUAUACUAAAAUUGGAACGAUACAGAAAGAUUAGCAUGGCCCCUGUGCAAAUUUGUGAAGCGUUCCAUAUUAAAGAAAAAAAAAUGUAA